GUACUUACUGGCAGGGGAGACACCAUGAUCAGGCAGGUGGUUUUCCCAGGACAUUGUUCAACCACUGCUCUCCAGGUGUGCUGAGCCCUGUAAUUUCCCCAAACAUAGGAAACUCAGCUGCGUAAUUUAUGGUAGUGGGGCAUUGCGUUUGUGCUAAACUACC
ensembl:snRNA U1 U1 spliceosomal RNA